GGAAACGUGCCCGAAAGUCAGGGAUUACUUUGAUAGAGUAGACCAUAGGGGUUCAAACCCCCUCAUUUCCU
rnacentral:tRNA from 1 species